ACAGGUGGAGCAUGUUGCUUCAACAUUUCAGACCAUGGCGAGGCUAUCCGUGAUCUGGCAGCAAGCAUUGAAAAGGUAGCACAUGUCCCUGUACAAACCUGGGAGGGCUGGGAUAUGUCUUGGUUGGACGGCAUCUUCCCAGGUGGAUGGAUGGGGAGGAUAUUUACUAUGGUGAUAGGUCCAAUAAUGCUUUUAUUGCUUUUCUGCUUCUGUAUGCCCUGCUUGAUGCAAUGUAUGCAAAGUAUGAUGGAGAAGAUGAUGUCUCGC